rnacentral:rRNA from 1 species
UACGAAGGGGGGCUAGCGUUGUCCGGAUUUAUUGGGCGUAAAGAGCGUGUAGGCGGCCAGGUAGGUCUGCUGUGAAAACUCGAGGCUCAACCUCGAGACGUCGGUGGAAACCGUAUGGCUAGAGUCCGGAAGAGGAGAGUGGAAUUCCUGGUGUAGCGGUGAAAUGCGCAGAUAUCAGGAAGAACACCCGUGGCGAAGGCGGCUCUCUGGGACGGUACUGACGCUGAGACGCGAAAGCGUGGGGAGCGAACAGG